UCGCUAUUGAAGUUUCAUACCGGAAGGAGAAACACAUAUUAUGCAUUGCAUUGUUCAAACGCGCAGAUUCAGCUGUUUAUAUAUCAAUCAUUAUGGCGACUAAGUCAGGGAAAGCUAAAUCUAAGUCUAGAUAUACAGAUGUACACACAAUUAUAGAAUAAAUUGAUUGGGAAGGUGAGACAGAGAUUGUUGUUGGACGAUUCAUUUAGUGCUUGUGGAGGAAUAUUUUUUGAAUGGGAGAGGGCAUCGUUUUGGACUGGACCUGAGCCCUAGGACCAUGCGUCAGGACUACCUGGCAUGAUGACUCCUUGCUGUCCCCAGUCCACCUGGCCUUGCCACUGUUGCAGUUAACUGUUCUGCCUGUGGCUAUGGAACCCUAAAAUGAUAAUUUUUACUCUUGAGGUGCUGUCCUGUUGCACCCUCUACAACCACUGUGAUCUCCCCCCGGCACAGACAAAAGAGGACUGGCCACCCCUCAUAGCCUGGUUCCUCUCUAGGUUUCUUCCUAGGUUUUUGCCUUUCUAGGGAGUUUUUCCUAGCCACCGUGCUUCUACACCUGCAUUGCUUGCUGUUUGGGAUUUAGGCUGGGGCUAUAGAAAAUUGAUUUGAUUUGAUAGAGGACUGAGGGUCUUCCAAAUAUUGAAAGUGUGUAAAUAGUUACCCACGUUAUUUUGUAAAUGUAUAUACAUAUUUUUUUUCCCUAUAUUUUUUAAUCAAUAAUUGUUUUUUUCCCCCAUUUUUUUUCCAAUUUUUUUUUGUUGGGGGGGUGUGUUAGAAUACCAUUUUGGUAUUUUGUAUAUAGUUAUUUGUUUCAAAAUGUAUACCUUCACCAAUUUGACCACUUGGGUACAUUUGGGCUACUUGUGUGGGACACCUGGGUGACUUCAUGAUUAAUGUCAUGUAGCACACUCAUUUUGGAAGUUAUCAUUCUGAAACUUUGCACAAGUACUGUUGCCCUCUUAUAUUUUCAACUGAAAUUGUCCCCAUCAUCCUAUCUGAUUGUUUGUUUUAUCUUGUUCAUUUUAAAGAUGAACAAGAUAAAAACAUAUGUUUUUUUUCAUUGUUUUAUCUAAACCAGAUCUAUUAUGUUAUAUUCUUCUACAUUCAAUUCACAUUUCCACAAAUUUCAGAGUGUUUUCUUUCAAAUGGUACCAAGAAUAUGCAUAUCCUUGGUUCUGUGCCUGAGCUACAGGCUGUUAGAUUUGGGUAUGUCUUCAGGCGGAAAUUGCACAAAGUAGGGGGGGAGCUCUAGGAGGUUAAAUUGUUCUAACAAUAUGCUUGCUCUUGUCUUGGAUUGAAUAAGAACAUAUCAUGAUGUAAAUAAAUGUCC
ensembl:lncRNA